rnacentral:rRNA from 1 species
UACGGAGGAUGCAAGCGUUAUCCGGAAUGAUUGGGCGUAAAGCGUCCGCAGGUGGCUGUGUAAGUCUGCUGUCAAAGAGCGAAGCUCAACUUCGUAAAGGCAGUGGAAACUACACGGCUAGAGUGCGUUCGGGGCAGAGGGAAUUCCUGGUGUAGCGGCGAAAUGCGUAGAGAUCAGGAAGAACACCGGUGGCGAAGGCGCUCUGCUAGGCCGCAACUGACACUGAGGGACGAAAGCUAGGGGAGCGAAUGGG